CAGAAUAUCGACUGAUAUUAUCA
rnacentral:miRNA from 1 species